rnacentral:rRNA from 1 species
ACUGGAGGUAUCAGAAGUGCGAAUGCUGACAUAAGUAACGAUUAACAGAGUGAAAAACUCUGUCGCCGAAAAUCCAAGGGUUCCUGCGCAAGGUUAAUCCGCGCAGGGUUAGUCGACCCCUAAGACGAGGGCGAAAGCCGUAGUCGAUGGGAACCAGGUUAAUAUUCCUGGACCAGAUGGUAGUGACGGAUUUUGUAAAUUGUUAACUCUUAAUGGAUUGAGUUAGCUGUGAAGAAAUUCCAGGAAAUAGCUCCAUCAUAAGAUCGUACCCGAAACCGACACAGGUGGAUUAGUAGAGUAUAUCUAGGCGCUUGAGAGAAUGAUGUUGAAGGAACUCGGCAAAAUGCCUCUGUAACUUCGGAAGAAAGAGGACCUAUUUUUGGGCAACCAUAAGUAGGUGGCACAAGCCAGGGAGAAGCGACUGUUUAUCAAAAACACAGGACUCUGCUAACACGUAAGUGGAUGUAUAGGGUCUGACGCCUGCCCGGUGCCGGAAGGUUAAUGCGAUGGGUGCAAGCCUGUUUCUGAAGCCCCGGUGAACGGCGGCCGUAACUAUAACGGUCCUAAGGUAGCGAAAUUCCUUGUCGGGUAAGUUCCGACCUGCAUGAAUGGCGUAACGAUUUCUCCGCUGUCUCCAACAUCAACUCAGUGAAAUUGAAUUCUCCGUGAAGAUGCGGAGUUCCCGUGGUUAGACGGAAAGACCCCGUGCACCUUUACUGCAACUUUACAUUGGUAUCAGAAGCGACAUGUUUAGCAUAGGAGGGAGACUUUGAAGUGGUAGCGUCAGCUAUCAUGGAGUCGCCAGUGAAAUACCUCUCUUGUUAUUUUUGAUAUCUAACUGUUAGCCGUAAUCCGGCAGCAAGACACUGUAUGGUGGGUAGUUUGACUGGGGCGGUCGCCUCCCAAAGAUUAACGGAGGCGUGCGAAGGUAGGCUCAGAACGGUCAGAAAUCGUUCGUAGAGUGCAAUGGCAUAAGCCUGCCUGACUGCGAGACUGACAAGUCGAGCAGAGUCGAAAGACGGUCAUAGUGAUCCGGUGGUUCUGAGUGGAAGGGCCAUCGCUCAACGGAUAAAAGGUACGCCGGGGAUAACAGGCUGAUACCCUCCAAGAGUUCAUAUCGACGAGGGUGUUUAGCACCUCGAUGUCGGCUCAUCACAUCCUGGCGCUGGAGCAGGUCACAAGGGUUUGACUGUUCGCCAAUUAAAGUGGUACG